rnacentral:miRNA from 1 species
UACAUGUACCGUCAGUCGUCAGA